UACGUAGGGGGCAAGCGUUAUCCGGAUUCACUGGGUGUAAAGGGAGCGUAGACGGCCAUGCAAGCCAGGGGUGAAAGCCCGGGGCCCAACCCCGGGACUGCCCUUGGAACUGCAUGGCUGGAGUGCGGGAGGGGCAGGCGGAAUUCCUGGUGUAGCGGUGAAAUGCGUAGAUAUCAGGAGGAACACCGGCGGCGAAGGCGGCCUGCUGGACCGUGACUGACGUUGAGGCUCGAGAGCGUGGGGAGCAAACAGG
rnacentral:rRNA from 1 species